rnacentral:tRNA from 1 species
UCCCUGGUGGCUCAGACAGUAAAGAAUCUGCCUGCCAUGCAGGGGACCCAGGUUCAAUCCCUGGGUUGGGAA